GAUGAACGCUAGCGGGAGGCCUAACACAUGCAAGCCGAGCGGUAUUUCUUCUUCGGGAGAGAGAGAGCGGCGUACGGGUGCGGAACACGUGUGCAACCUGCCUUUAUCUAGAGGAUAGCCUUUCGAAAGGAAGAUUAAUACUCUAUAAUAUAUUAAUUGGCAUCAAUUGAUAUUGAAAACUCCGGUGGAUAGAGAUGGGCACGCGCAAGAUUAGCUAGUUGGUGAGGUAACGGCUCACCAAGGCAAUGAUCUUUAGGGGGCCUGAGAGGGUGAUCCCCCACACUGGUACUGAGACACGGACCAGACUCCUACGGGAGGCAGCAGUGAGGAAUAUUGGUCAAUGGGUGCAAGCCUGAACCAGCCAUCCCGCGUGAAGGAUUAAGGUCCUAUGGAUUGUAAACUUCUUUUGUAUAGGGAUAAACCUACCCUCGUGAGGGUAGCUGAAGGUACUAUACGAAUAAGCACCGGCUAACUCCGUGCCAGCAGCCGCCGCCGUAA
rnacentral:rRNA from 1 species